GACAGAGGGUGCAAACGUUGUUCGGAAUUACUGGGCGUAAAGCGCGCGUAGGCAGCAGCGUGUGUCGGGCGUGAAAUCCCACGGCUCAACCGUGGAAGUGCACUCGAAACUGCGCAGCUAGAGUCUCGGAGAGGAAGGCGGAAUGCUUGGUGUAGAGGUGAAAUUCGUAGAUAUUCGGAGGAACACCAGUGGCGAAGGCGGCUCACUGGCUCGAUACUGACGCUGAGGUGCGAAAGCGUGGGGAGCAAACAGG
rnacentral:rRNA from 1 species